rnacentral:rRNA from 1 species
UACGUAGGGGGCUAGCGUUGUCCGGAUUUAUUGGGCGUAAAGAGCGUGUAGGCGGCCUGGUAGGUCUGCUGUGAAAACUCGAGGCUCAACCUCGAGAUGUCGGCGGAAACCAUCUGGCUAGAGUCCGGAAGAGGAGAGUGGAAUUCCCGGUGUAGCGGUGAAAUGCGCAGAUAUCGGGAAGAACACCUAUGGCGAAGGCAGCUCUCUGGGACGGUACUGACGCUGAGACGCGAAAGCGUGGGGAGCGAACAGG